rnacentral:lncRNA from 1 species
UUUCAGCUUCCUGCUCAGUCAGGAGGUGAGCAUCUGUGGUUCACCCACAAUCCAGCAUCACCAAGAGAUCACUAGUGAAUUCUUCUCAGGUCUGAGCACCAAGAUGACAGCUACAGAGGCUUCAGUGGAAAUGUUAAAAACAGACCUUAGAUUCACAGACGGACUGGAAAAAGCUGAACCUGGUAAAGUAAUUGAUGAAAUUAGAAAAAUUAUAAGAGGGGCAUUUUUACUCCCCAGCCCCUGAAUUGCAAAGGGAGCUGAAUUUAGACAUGUUAGUAUUUUACAAUCUCCGAAGAAGUUCCGGAGAGAGGGGAAUAGACUAGGUGUGAGGAUAGAUAUAGAAUUGCUACAUUAGUUAUUGUAUUAUGAUAUAUGUUUCUUAAAUACUCAUGAAGCAAGACUAAUGAAUAGUGAAUUUGGUUGCAAGAGGAGGAGGAAACUGUUCCUUGUGUUCAGAGCACUAGUACUCUCUCUUGCCUAUGUCUCUGGCAAUUUGCACACUUGUAGGUCACACCAUGACUUUCAGUAAUAUGCUCUUUAUAUUCCGGGUUAAUGGCAGACUUCAAUGCCAAUGACUCUAUAAUACACCUACUAAGAUAAUUUACCCUGCAAAAGCUGGAACUUCAAGUUUGCAGAUUCUUUGUGGGCAAGAUGAUUAAAAUGAGCUAUAGAGGAAGCUUUUUCAAGUUGGGACUCCUGCAAUUAUUUAUUCUUUUGAGCAAGUCUCCAUUUAGGCGAUCCUGGGAGAGAAACUUGAAAUUAGACACAGAUGUGGUCAAAUCUGUACAAACUUGUAAGAAAGUAUUUUUUUUCCAAUUUCAUUGCUCUUUCUUACCUCCUCCAUUUUUUUUAUCUUUUCCUCUUAUUAUUUUUUGUUUCUUUAUAAGUCCUGAGUAGUGUUUUUUUUUUUUUACCAAUUCUUCUACUGAAGAAUAUUUGAAUUGUUGAAAAUUUUUUAUUUUUAAUAAUCAAUAAAAAAUAAAACUGCUAUAAAUGUUCAUGUACAGGUUUGAAUAUAAACUUGAGUUUUUAUUCCCCUUGUUUAGAACAUCUAGGGGCACCUGAACAGGGCAUGUGGCAUACGUAUGUUUACCAUUUUUCCUUGCUAAACACAAUACAAGGACCUUCCAUUUGUGUCUGUUCUUCAGCAACACUUGCUGGUGUGACUUUGUUUAGUUUUGUUUACUACUCUAAUAAUCAUAUGGAGAUUACCAAUUAUGGUUCUAAUUUGUAUUUCUCAAAAAUCUAUCAACAUCAAGCAUACUUUAUGUGUUUAUUUACCAUUCUGGCAUUGUCUUUAUUGUUGUUACUUUGUAAGUCAUGAAAUCUAAAACUCUGAUUUCUCCAAAUCUGAUCUUUUUUUUUUUUCCUAAAAUCAUUUAGGCAAUUUUGGUUCUUUUACCUUUUCACAUAAUUAAAAAGUGACCUUCUUAAUUU